UCCGCAGCCCCGUGGGGCGUGGCCGGGCAGCCGCCAUCUGCAGCGUGGCUGGGGAAGUGGGAGCGCCAGCGGUUCCUCCCAGAUAGCCUCUCCACAAACUAAGCCCGUGGGUGCCCCGCGGACCCCAAAUCUCUCCCUCAGCGUGGACCACGAACCAGAGGCGGAGCCUCAUUCCUCUCUCCCUUAGGACAGGCUGCACUAGUUUACUCUGAGAGGCGAGCCAUCAUGAUGUAACAACAGUAAAGCCGUCAACGGGGAGACCAAAGGCGGAGGAACUGCGGCCUCCUGCCAACAGCCAGCACCAUGUGAGUGACCAUCUUGGAAGCAGAUCUCCCAGCCUUGGACGGAUCUUCAGAUGACCGCUACCUCUGCCAACAUGCAUGCUUACCGUAACAACAUGCUGACUGUAACUUCAUGAGACACCCUGAACCAGAACCACUCAGCCAACCCAUCGCCAGAUUACUGACCUACAGAAACUAUGUCAGUGGUAAAUAAUUGUUUUAACCACUAAGUUUGGGGAGAUCAUUUGUCACCCAACAAUAGAUUACUAAUACAAAUACGUGAUGAAUUUAGGACAGUGCCUGGCACAUGG